UGAAAGUUUGCGGCUCAACCGUAAAAUUGCAGUUGAUACUGCGUGUCUUGAGUACAGUAGAGGUGGGCGGAAUUCGUGGUGUAGCGGUGAAAUGCUUAGAUAUCACGAAGAACUCCGAUUGCGAAGGCAGCUCACUGGACUGCAACUGACACUGAUGCUCGAAAGUGUGGGUAUCAAACAGGAUUAGAUACCCUGGUAGUCCACACAGUAAACGAUGAAUACUCGCUGUUUGCGAUAUACAGUAAGCGGCCAAGCGAAAGCAUUAAGUAUUCCACCUGGGGAGUACGCCGGCAACGGUGAAACUCAAAGGAAUUGACGGGGGCCCGCACAAGCGGAGGAACAUGUGGUUUAAUUCGAUGAUACGCGAGGAACCUUACCCGGGCUUAAAUUGCAAAUGAAUAUGCCGGAAACGGCAUAGCCGCAAGGCAUUUGUGAAGGUGCUGCAUGGUUGUCGUCAGCUCGUGCCGUGAGGUGUCGGCUUAAGUGCCAUAACGAGCGCAACCCUUAUCUUCAGUUACUAACAGGUUAUGCUGAGGACUCUGGAGAGACUGCCGUCGUAAGAUGUGAGGAAGGUGGGGAUGACGUCAAAUCAGCACGGCCCUUACGUCCGGGGCUACACACGUGUUACAAUGGGGGGUACAGAAGGCCGCUACACAGCGAUGUGAUGCCAAUCCCUAAAGCCCCUCUCAGUUCGGAUCGAAGUCUGCAACCCGACUUCGUGAAGCUGGAUUCGCUAGUAAUCGCGCAUCAGCCACGGCGCGGUGAAUACGUUCCCGGGCCUUGUACACACCGCCCGUCAAGCCAUGGGAGCCGGGGGUACCUGAAGUACGUAACCGCAAGGAGCGUCCUAGGGUAAAACUGGUGACUGGGGCUAA
rnacentral:rRNA from 1 species